CCUACGGGUGGCAGCAGUGAGGAAUAUUGGUCAAUGGGCUUACGCCUGAACCAGCCAAGUCGCGUGAGGGAAGACUGCACAAUGGGUUGUAAACCUCUUUUGUCAGGGAGCAACGCCGGCUACGUGUAGCCGGACUGAGAGUACCUGAAGAAAAAGCAUCGGCUAACUCCGUGCCAGCAGCCGCGGUAAUACGGAGGAUGCGAGCGUUAUCCGGAUUUAUUGGGUUUAAAGGGUGCGUAGGCGGAAUGCCAAGUCAGCGGUAAAAUCCCGGGGCUCAACCUCGCUCCGCCGUUGAAACUGGCGUGCUUGAGUGGGCGAGAAGUAUGCGGAAUGCGUGGUGUAGCGGUGAAAUGCAUAGAUAUCACGCAGAACUCCGAUUGCGAAGGCAGCAUACCGGCGCCCAACUGACGCUGAAGCACGAAAGCGUGGGUAUCGAACAGGAUUAGAUACCCCGGUAGUC
rnacentral:rRNA from 1 species